UGGGGAAUAUUGGGCAAUGGGCGAAAGCCUGACCCAGCAACGCCGCGUGAGGGAAGAAGGGUUUCGGCUCGUAAACCUCUGUCCUAUGGGACGAAGAAGAUGACGGUACCAUAGGAGGAAGCCCCGGCUAACUACGUGCCAGCAGCCGCGGUAAUACGUAGGGGGCGAGCGUUGUCCGGAAUGAUUGGGCGUAAAGGGCGCGUAGGCGGCCUAUUAAGUCUGGAGUGAAAGUCCUGCUUUCAAGGUGGGAAUUGCUUUGGAUACUGAUGGGCUGGAGUGCAGGAGAGGAAAGCGGAAUUACCGGUGUAGCGGUGAAAUGCGUAGAGAUAUGGAGGAACACCAGUGGCGAAGGCGGCUUCCUGGUCUGCAACUGACACUGAGGCGCGAAAGCGUGGGGAGCAAACAGGAUUAGAUACCC
rnacentral:rRNA from 1 species